GUUAUAUCGGCUUCAUUCACCUCAAACGUUUGUUUGUGGACCGCCAUUAUACGCAUAGAAGAAGGGUUGGUGUAACGUUAACGUGUGUCGUCGUCCUAGUAGCAGUGAGGCUCUGCGUUAACAUAAAUAUGGUGAAGAUCUUUAUUGGAAACCUCCCUAACGAGGUCGAAAAGGAUGAGAUUGAGGCCCUGUUUACUGAACAUGGCACAGUGACAGAAUGUGCAAAGUUCAAAAAUUACGCCUUUGUCCACAUGGAUGACCGCAAGUCUGCAACGAAAGCCAUCCGCAGCCUGCACCUCUUCAAGCUUCAUGGCAGGCCAAUCAAUGUGGAGCCGAGCAGGGGGAAGAACCAGGGUCCAGUGAAACUUCAUGUGGCCAAUGUGGAGAAAGGCAACGGCGAUGAGCUCCGCACUCUGUUCGAGGAGUAUGGAACAGUGACAGAAUGUGCCAUCAUAAAAAAUUUCGCAUUCAUUCACAUGUCCAACUCAGAUGAGGCCAAGGAUGCCAUAAAGGGAUUAGACAACACUGACUUCCAAGGCAAACGGAUUCACGUUCAGAUGUCAAAAAGCCGUCCCAGAGGGGAGGAAGAGGAUUACGGCCCCCCACCAGAUAGGGGUGGAUACUGGCCACCACCCCGUGGCUACCCUGGGGACAGGGGUAUGCGUGAGCCCCCGCAUUACAGAGGUCGCAUGUCAGGGGGUUACCCUGGACCCCCUCCACCACCACCUCCCCCUAGACGAGCCCCUUACCUCCCAGAGCGUGCUUAUGAGCGUGAGAGGGAAAGCUACGGGGUGGUCGAUUACUAUGAGAAGUACAGAGCGCGCCCUGCCCCUUACGGUGGCCUUUCAGGCUAUGGAGAUGAAAGGCGUGUCGGCGCCAUACCCCCUCCACCACCACCCCCUUCUGCCAUGGUUAGGGAGCGCCUUGGGGCCUCCUCCCUCAACCCGUACGAGCGUCGCCCCCUCCCUCCUCCGUCCUCCUACUAUGCCCGUGAUCGCAGUCCCAUCAGAAGACCCCCUCCCCCCAUGCCCCCCGCAGGUAACGGCUACUCCUAUGAGCGCUCUCGGCUCUCUCCUCUGUCCAGGCCAGCGAUGUACAGCGUACCACGUACCAGAGACCCCUAUGCUGAGAGGGUGCCUCUGCCCCCUCCUGCCCGCUACUCGUAUUGAACGCACACUGGUGCUUGACUCAAGGGUUAAAUUAUCCGACAAGAUCGUCGUCUCCUGAUGCACGUGGCACUAUACCCCCCCUUCGUCUGUGGCGUUGCGUUCACCUGCGACUUACUGGAAGAUACUCUAUUGCUUGCGGGCACCCAUACAAAAAAAUACGCUUUUGUCUACGGUUUCGUCCUCUUUCUUGAACUGUUUUACAUUUGUUCUGCUUGAUUUUAUUGUUCGAGGUUCAUAAGAUGUUUUGGGGCAAAGGAUAAAGGCAGAGGGGGUUACUGUAUUUUUGAGGUGUUAUUCUAUUUUGAAAUGACGCAGUACUCCUAAGGGCUCUAUGUUGGCCUAAGACCUAACAUAAAAUUUCUUCCUUCAUAAAAUCAUUUAUGGAUACAAACCCUCUAAACUGUGAUAUUCAUGAAGGGACUAUUUGAAUGUUAAUUAAAUAGCAAUCCAUGUAAUUUUGGUAAACAUGAAUGUUACGAAGAUUCUGCAGAUGUCUUUUUCAGAGCUGUAUCUAGCUUCAGUUUGAUUAAUAAACCACACACUCAUUUGCAUAAUCAGUCCAACAACGUGUUAGUGUAAUAUCGCUUUAACUGGUGUGAUCUUGGUUUUGGGUGGUACUUACCAGUAUUCAAGACGUUUUGCGACGCAACUGUUAGUGUAGUGAUUUAACUACCUAUGCAAAUUUGAUUUGUUAGACAUUUUGUGUUCAAUUAUAUGCCGAUUUACAUACCUAGAUACCCCAAAGCUGCGUUUUAUGUAUGGUUUUCUUUUCUUUACAGAUGCCAUUUUUGAUUUCAAAGCUUUUUAAUAAACAGAUUUGAACUAUCGUCACUUUGAACUUCCCCAUCUUUCCUCGUUAUUAUAGGCGCUUCAUGACAAUGCUCAUUGCAGUCAGUGAAAGCCAAUAUGCAGCAGCACUAACUUAAUCUAUGGCAUUUCGGUCCAUUCUGAAAAAUGCGCUUUUCAAUUUUAAAUUUAUAUUCAAAGUAGUGGGGAAAUUACCCUCUUACCAUCUUUUUCUUUGCGGUGGCAAAUGUAUAAUCUCUUGCGAUAUCUGAAGAUGCUUAAUUUACAAUGUCACAGUUUCCAUCUUUCAACCACUGCAUGCUCCAUGUUCUUCAGCAUCAUUCUCUUAAAUAAAUGUAAUGUUUUGGCUUAGUGAUCUAACUAAUGCCCUCUCCCAUGAUACAUAGGACAAUAAGCCCUGGUAUUCUUAGCACUUCUGCUUUUUGUAGGUUGUUAGAACCAUGAUCUGUGGAUAGGUGUUGUGGACACAAUGUAGGAGACGGUCGUGCUGUCUUUUGCUGUAUCCUACAAUAUGGACAUGUGGAGGUAAUGUUCAAUUAAGGUCAUUUAUACAGAACUGUGAUUUAUUGUACUUUAAAGGUGCUACACAGAUUUGAUUUAAAAAAAUUGCUUUGUAAUUUCAGGAUUUCCAUAAUAUCUGCAGUAAUAGUGGAAUGAUAGUGUUUCACAGUAUUACAUACCCACCAGUGUUGUGGUUUGCUGUGCUAUUCGCCUAUUGGUUUCCCCGCUGAAGCGGCACGUGUCAAAAUGGGAAAGCUGUUCUGACUUAGAGCGAUUUCCACUAGGUAAACUGCCAGUCAUUAACUGGUUGGUAAAAUUCUACACUGUUCGCUCAAUUUCAGUUUGUGAGAAAAUAAGCACUGUAUAGUGAAGUGAAUCAUUGUACAAUCCAAAUUGCUGUGAAUGGUCUUUUCAGUGAAACAAAAGUUAUUUUUUGAAGUUGGUGAAUAGUCUACCAGCUUCAAACAGCUGUAAAAACUAUUUUUGUUUUUGAAAAGAUAUUUCGCAGCGAUUUCGAUGGUACAAGUCAAACAGCUUUCCCAAAUGAUAGGCGAAUAUCACAGCCAACACUAGCGGCGGGUAAGUAAUACUUUGAAACACUCAUUCCACUAUUAGCGGCAGAUAUAUUAUGGACAUUUUCUGAAAUUACAAUGCAAUAAAAAUCCUAUGUUUAGUACCUUUUAAGUCCCAUUUGAUGACAUACUUUGCCCAUGCUUAGUGUCUUUAUCCUUUUCUAUCUAACUGAUCCCCAUCUUAUUGCUCCUAUCCCCCACAUCUAGGCCUCUUGUUCUUUCCUUGCACAAGAGGUUGGUACGGAAGUGGAAUUCUGCUAGGGAAGGUAUUGUGAAAUUAAUUUAGCAGAAUAGUGCAACCAUGUAGGUAUCAGUAAUGAAAUGUUGGAAUAAGUGUCAUGUUGGAUAUACUAAAUAUAUUUAUUUUUGUAGUUGUAUAGAUGAACAGACUUCCCCAAUGCUUAGCAUGUCCUUUUUAAUGAUACUUGCCUUCCAUCCUAUUUCUCCCAUCUCUUCCCCUCUAGGCCAUGGUCUUCUUUCCAGAGGUUGGUACAGAAGUGGACUUCAGCUCCUCUUGAUAUUCUGACACUGCUCUUCAGGGUUAUGAAUGCUGUGAAUGGGUGCCACCGCUAUCAGAUCGGUCCUCAUGCAGGAAGUGCAAUGGCCCAUGGCCUCCAGAGUGGCGCAGCGGUCUAAGGCAUCGCAGUGUUGUGGUGUCACUACAGCCUGGGAUCAAACCCCGGGCUGUGUCACAACCGGCCGUGACUGGAAGUCCCAUAUGACAGCGCACAAUUGGCCCAGCGUCAUCCGGGUUAGUGGAGGGUUUGGGGGGCGGCUUUACUUGGCUCAUCGCGCUCUAGCAACUCCUUGUGGGGGGCCGGGUGCCUGCAAGCUGACUUCGGUCGUCAGUUGAACGGUGUUUCCUCCGUCACAUUGGUGAAGCUGGCUUCCGGGUUAAGUGAGCAGGUGUUGAGAAGCGUGGCAUGGCAGGUCAUGUUUUGGAGGACUCUACUUUUGGCUCCCAAGCCCGUUGCAGCAAUGAGACAAGAUCGCAAUUGGAUAUCAUGAAAUUGGGGAGAAAAGGGGGGUAAAAUUACACCUUUAAAAAAAAAAAAUCUUGUCUUUCUUUAGGAGGACCAGUUUGAAGAAGGAAUACUGUCUGACUGCUGCAUAAUCAUUUCCUGACCAGAUGACUCCUUGAGUUGAAGUGACAUCAGGAAAAUGUCGUCCUCGAUGCUCACCAUUUCUAUGUAUUGUCACAAUUU